rnacentral:rRNA from 1 species
AUUGAACGCUGGCGGCAGGCCUAACACAUGCAAGUCGAGCGAGCGGCGGACGGGUGAGUAAUGUAUGGGGACUGCCCGAUAGAGGGGGAUAACUACUGGAAACGGUGGCUAAUACCGCAUACUAUCGGAUAACCCAUAUGGGAUUAGCUAGUAGGUGGGGUAAAGGCUCACCUAGGCGACGAUCCCUAGCUGGUCUGAGAGGAUGAUCGGCCACACUGGGACUGAGACACGGCCCAGACUCCUACGGAGGCAGCAGUAGGGAAUAUUGCGCAAUGGGCGAAAGCCUGACCGAGCCAUGCCGCGUGAGUGAAGAAGGCCUUCGGAUUGUAAAAUACUUUCAGUAGGGAGGCGGUACCCACACAGAAAGCAACGGCUAACUCCGUGCCAGCAGCCGCGGUAAUUC